AUUGAACGCUGGCGGCAUGCCUUACACAUGCAAGUCGAACGGCAGCACGGGAGCAAUCCUGGUGGCGAGUGGCGAACGGGUGAGUAAAGUAUCGGAACGUGCCCAGUCGUGGGGGAUAACGUAGCGAAAGUUACGCUAAUACCGCAUACGAACUACGGAUGAAAGCGGGGGAUCGCAAGCCCUCGCGCGAUUGGAGCGGCCGAUAUCAGAUAAGGUAGUCGGUGGGGUAAAGGCUCACCAAGCCGACGACCUGUAGCUGGUCUGAGGGGACGACCAGCCACACUGGGACUGAGACACGGCCCAGACUCCUACGGGAGGCAGCGGUGGGGAAUUUUGGACAAUGGGCGAAAGCCUGAUCCAGCAAUGCCGCGUGCAGGAUGAAGGCCUUCGGGUUGUAAACUGCUUUUGUACGGAACGAAAAGGUUUGGCCUAAUAAGCUGAGCUCAUGACGGUACCGUAAGAAUAAGCACCGGCUAACUACGUGCCAGCAGCCGCCGUAA
rnacentral:rRNA from 1 species